GUGCUUGGUUCAACAGCACAUACACUAAAAUUGGAAUGAUACAGAGAUUAGCAUGGCCCCUGUGCAAGGAUGACACGCAAAUUCAUGAAGUGUUCCAUAAUUUU
ensembl:snRNA U6 U6 spliceosomal RNA